rnacentral:rRNA from 1 species
GCAAGUCUCCGCACCCCUGUGAGAACGCCCCCCCCCCCUAAUCGGAGAAAGGAGCUGGUAUCAGGCACAAUAAUUAGCCCAAGACACCUAGCCAUGCCACACCCACAAGGGAAUCAGCAGUAAUUAACAUUGAACAUAAGCGUCAGCUUGAUUCAGUUAAAGUAAACAAGGGCAGGCAAAUAUGGUGCCAGCCGCCGCGGUUACACCAUGUGGCCCAAAUUGACCCCCCCCCCCAUCCGGCGUAAAGAGUGAUUAAAGUAACACCACACUGUAGUCAAACUAGAAUAGAGUUGUGAUAAGCUUAUAUCUAGGAAGCCCAAAAACGAAAGUUACUACACUCCAAACAACUUGAACUCACAACAGCUAAGAAACAAACUAGGAUUAGAUACCCUACUAUGCUUAGCCGUAAACUUUUAAUUACACCCCACCAACGCCAGGGAACUACGAGCUAAAGCUUAAAACCCAAAGGACUUGACGGUGCCCCAUAUCCCCCUAGAGGAGCCUGUCCUAUAAUCGAUAACCCCCGUUUAACCUCACCACUUUUAGUCAAGUCAGCCUGUAUACCUCCGUCGUCAACCUACCACAUGAGUGCACAAUAGUAGGUUCAAUGCCUUAUACUUCCGCCAAUACGUCAGGUCAAGGUGCAGCUAAUAAAGUGGGAAGAGAUGGGCUACACUCUCUAACGUAGAAGAUACGAAAAGCUAAUAUGAAAUCUAGCUUAAAGGUGGAUUUAGUAGUAAAAAAAGAAUAGAGCGCUUUUUUUAAUUAGGCCCUGGGGUGUGUACACACCGCCCGUCACCCUCUUCGCAGCCAUUCAA